GACGAACGCUGGCGGCGUGCUUAACACAUGCAAGUCGAGCGGUAAGGCCCUUUCGGGGGUACACGAGCGGCGAACGGGUGAGUAACACGUGGGUGACCUGCCUUUAGCUCUGGGAUAAGCCUGGGAAACUGGGUCUAAUACCGGAUAUGACUCCAUGAUGCAUGUUGUGGGGUGGAAAGCCUUGUGCGGCUGGAGAUGGGCCCGCGGCCUAUCCAGCUUGUUGGUGGGGUGANGGCCUACCAAGGCGACGACGGGUAGCCGGCCUGAGAGGGCGACCGGCCACACUGGGACUGAGACACGGCCCAGACUCCUACGGGAGGCAGCAGUGGGGAAUCUUGCGCAAUGGGCGAAAGCCUGACGCAGCGACG
rnacentral:rRNA from 1 species